CCUACGGGGGGCAGCAGUGGGGAAUAUUGCACAAUGGGGGAAACCCUGAUGCAGCAACGCCGCGUGAGUGAAGAAGUAUUUCGGUAUGUAAAGCUCUAUCAGCAGGGAAGAAAAUGACGGUACCUGACUAAGAAGCCCCGGCUAACUACGUGCCAGCAGCCGCGGUAAUACGUAGGGGGCAAGCGUUAUCCGGAUUUACUGGGUGUAAAGGGAGCGUAGACGGCAGCGCAAGUCUGAAGUGAAAGCCCGGGGCUCAACCCCGGAAUGGCUUUGGAAACUGUGCAGCUAGAGUACCGGAGGGGUAAGCGGAAUUCCUAGUGUAGCGGUGAAAUGCGUAGAUAUUAGGAGGAACACCAGUGGCGAAGGCGGCUUACUGGACGGUAACUGACGUUGAGGCUCGAAAGCGUGGGGAGCAAACAGGAUU
rnacentral:rRNA from 1 species